UACGUAGGUGACCAGCGUUGUCCGGAUUUACUGGGCGUAAAGAGCGCGCAGGCGGUCGUUCAAGUCGAGUGUGAAAGCCCCCGGCUCAACUGGGGAGGGUCAUUCGAUACUGCAAAGCUAGAGUCUCGGAGAGGAACGUGGAAUUCUCGGUGUAGAGGUGAAAUUCGUAGAUAUCGAGAGGAACACCGGUGGCGAAGGCGGCGAUCUGGACGAUGACUGACGCUGAGACGCGAAAGCGUGGGGAGCAAACAGG
rnacentral:rRNA from 1 species